AUGUGCCUCCUAUUCUGGGCAUUGCUCUUGAGGCUUGUUGAGGUGAAACAUCCUUGCAACAAAGUACACUGCCUCUCUUCUGUAUUUGGGAAACAGCUACAACAGUGCUGGAAAAGUUUGCAUCUUAGGAUGACCUGAAGAAGGAAUAGCCAGGACAGGGAGCUUUAGGCUUUGCUGAGCCUGCCCAUGGAUCACUCUGUGGCACAGCUCCCAACCCCAGCCCCAGCUGUGAUGCCAGG
rnacentral:lncRNA from 1 species